ACACCAAUGGUUCAAUGGUGAGAGCGUUUAAGUUCUGAUCAACCGGUCACGGGUUCGAGCCUCAUUUGUUGCA
rnacentral:tRNA from 1 species